rnacentral:lncRNA from 1 species
AAGGUCUCGCAGAGGCUAAAACAUAAUAUCGCGAUAGUUCUCGCGAGGCUUGCGGGUGCCGGCGGCGGCCGUUUAGCCCCGCCCCUCCGUGCGGUUGUGCGUCAUUUGCUUUUCGCUUUGCGUAGGGUGAGAGCGGAGUGGUAAGUACUUCGGCUGUAGUGGGAGGAGGGGUUUGGGAAGGGCUGGGCUCCGGCUUUUCGCGUCCGGUAGGGGGUUCUCGCGGGAUUGCGCGGAGGCGGCGACGGUUCUGUCUUGGACGGCAGCAGCCGCGGAGGCGGUAACGUCUCUGGCUCGUGCUGUUCUUAGCCGGUACUCCACUAGUCUGAGUGGGUUAGUGCUCCAGAGAAACCAGCAGACCAACUUGGUCAGGAAGGUUCGGGAAGCUGUUGGAGCAGUGAUUUGGCAUUUCCCACCAGGAUGAGUAUGAUUGGUUGUGAUUCUAGGUUAGUUUUGUACAUCUUUGUGUGUAGUGUAGUAUUUAUAUUUUACUUCCUGCAAAGGA